UACGUAGGGUGCAAGCGUUGUCCGGAAUUAUGGUGCGUAAAGAGCUCGUAGGCGGUUUGUCGCGUCGGCUGUGAAAACUCGGGGCUCAACCCCGAGCCUGCAGUCGAUACGGGCAAACUAGAGUGUGGUAGGGGAGACUGGAAUUCCUGGUGUAGCGGUGGAAUGCGCAGAUAUCAGGAGGAACACCGAUGGCGAAGGCAGGUCUCUGGGCCAUUACUGACACUGAGAAGCGAAAGCAUGGGGAGCGAACAGG
rnacentral:rRNA from 1 species